rnacentral:rRNA from 2 species
UGCAAGUCGAGCGAACAGAUAAGGAGCUUGCUCCUUUGACGUUAGCGGCGGACGGGUGAGUAACACGUGGGUAACCUACCUAUAAGACUGGGAUAACUUCGGGAAACCGGAGCUAAUACCGGAUAACAUUUGGAACCGCAUGGUUCUAAAGUGAAAGAUGGUUUUGCUAUCACUUAUAGAUGGACCCGCGCCGUAUUAGCUAGUUGGUAAGGUAACGGCUUACCAAGGCGACGAUACGUAGCCGACCUGAGAGGGUGAUCGGCCACACUGGAACUGAGACACGGUCCAGACUCCUACGGGAGGCAGCAGUAGGGAAUCUUCCGCAAUGGGCGAAAGCCUGACGGAGCAACGCCGCGUGAGUGAUGAAGGGUUUCGGCUCGUAAAACUCUGUUAUUAGGGAAGAACAAAUGUGUAAGUAACUGUGCACGUCUUGACGGUACCUAAUCAGAAAGCCACGGCUAACUACGUGCCAGCAGCCGCGGUAAUACGUAGGUGGCAAGCGUUAUCCGGAAUUAUUGGGCGUAAAGCGCGCGUAGGCGGUUUCUUAAGUCUGAUGUGAAAGCCCACGGCUCAACCGUGGAGGGUCAUUGGAAACUGGGAAACUUGAGUGCAGAAGAGGAAAGUGGAAUUCCAUGUGUAGCGGUGAAAUGCGCAGAGAUAUGGAGGAACACCAGUGGCGAAGGCGACUUUCUGGUCUGUAACUGACGCUGAUGUGCGAAAGCGUGGGGAUCAAACAGGAUUAGAUACCCUGGUAGUCCACGCCGUAAACGAUGAGUGCUAAGUGUUAGGGGGUUUCCGCCCCUUAGUGCUGCAGCUAACGCAUUAAGCACUCCGCCUGGGGAGUACGACCGCAAGGUUGAAACUCAAAGGAAUUGACGGGGACCCGCACAAGCGGUGGAGCAUGUGGUUUAAUUCGAAGCAACGCGAAGAACCUUACCAAAUCUUGACAUCCUUUGAAAACUCUAGAGAUAGAGCCUUCCCCUUCGGGGGACAAAGUGACAGGUGGUGCAUGGUUGUCGUCAGCUCGUGUCGUGAGAUGUUGGGUUAAGUCCCGCAACGAGCGCAACCCUUAAGCUUAGUUGCCAUCAUUAAGUUGGGCACUCUAGGUUGACUGCCGGUGACAAACCGGAGGAAGGUGGGGAUGACGUCAAAUCAUCAUGCCCCUUAUGAUUUGGGCUACACACGUGCUACAAUGGACAAUACAAAGGGCAGCUAAACCGCGAGGUCAUGCAAAUCCCAUAAAGUUGUUCUCAGUUCGGAUUGUAGUCUGCAACUCGACUACAUGAAGCUGGAAUCGCUAGUAAUCGUAGAUCAGCAUGCUACGGUGAAUACGUUCCCGGGUCUUGUACACACCGCCCGUCACACCACGAGAGUUUGUAACACCCGAAGCCGGUGGAGUAACCAUUUAUGGAGCUAGC